UACGAAGGGGGCUAGCGUUGCUCGGAAUCACUGGGCGUAAAGCGCACGUAGGCGGCUUUUUAAGUCAGGGGUGAAAUCCUGGAGCUCAACUCCAGAACUGCCUUUGAUACUGAGAAGCUUGAGUUCGGGAGAGGUGAGUGGAACUGCGAGUGUAGAGGUGAAAUUCGUAGAUAUUGGGAGGAACACCAGUGGCGAAGGCGGCUCACUGGACCGGUACUGACGCUGAGGCGCGAAAGCGUGGGGAGCAAACGGG
rnacentral:rRNA from 1 species